CCUACGGGAGGCUGCAGUGGGGAAUAUUGCGCAAUGGGCGAAAGCCUGACGCAGCGACGCCGCGUGAGGGAUGAAGGUCUUCGGAUUGUAAACCUCUGUCAGCAGGGAAGAACGGUCACUGUGCUAAUCAGCAGUGAAUUGACGGUACCUGCACAGGAAGCACCGGCUAACUCCGUGCCAGCAGCCGCGGUAAUACGGAGGGUGCGAGCGUUAAUCGGAAUUACUGGGCGUAAAGCGCUCGUAGGCGGUAUGUCAAGUCAAGGGUGAAAUCCCCGCGCUCAACGUGGGAACUGCCGUUGAAACUGGCAAACUGGAGUGUGUGAGAGGAUAGUGGAAUUCCAGGUGUAGGAGUGAAAUGCGUAGAUAUCUGGAGGAACAUCAGUGGCGAAGGCGACUAUCUGGCACAUAACUGACGCUGAGGAGCGAAAGCGUGGGUAGCAAACAGGAUUAGAUACCCCUGUAGUC
rnacentral:rRNA from 1 species